GGAUGGUUGUACUUGUUUGGUCAGCUGCAAUAGCAGAACCACACAAAAACAUUAGAACUUUUUCCACCUGUAAACAAACUAUUAAUAUAGUUUGUCCAAUCAAAUCUUAUUACAUGCUCUUAGUUUAUUUUUGUUUCUUGAUGUUUUGAAGAUUUGUUCCUCCUAACAUUAACUUUCAAAAUAUUACUCAUAACAAAAAUUACAUUUACUGCUUUUAUCUCGUUGAAUUCCAAAACUAAGGUGAAAUAUUGAAUUUUAGGUCAUACUUCAGCAUGUAAAUUAAGACGGACAGCUAGAAAAACUUACAAACUGGAACAAUAGCUAGAGCC
rnacentral:misc_RNA from 1 species